rnacentral:rRNA from 1 species
UACGUAGGGGGCAAGCGUUGUCCGGAUUCAUUGGGCGUAAAGAGCGUGUAGGCGGCCUUACAGGUCAGCUGUGAAAACUCGGGGCUUAACCCCGGGCCUGCAGUGGGUACGGGCAGACUAGAGUGCGGUAGGGGAGACUGGAAUUCCUGGUGUAGCGGUGAAAUGCGCAGAUAUCAGGAGGAACACCGGUGGCGAAGGCGGAUCUCUGGGCCAUUACUGACGCUGAGGAGCGAAAGCGUGGGGAGCGAACAGG